rnacentral:lncRNA from 1 species
UAGAUCAUAGGCUCCCAUUAAAUUGGAUGAUAAUGGAUCCAUUAGUAUGAUGAUCAUUGGAGGUCCAAAGGCCUAGUACUCAUCUGCUAUUAGAAUUAUCAUUCAUAAUAUGAUGACUCAAUCGAAUCUCUUUAGCGAGUGGUCAGAUUAGCCGGCCAAAAUCGGGUCUGAUCAUUUGAUAGUUAGAUUUUUGAGUAUGAUCAUGUUAAUAGUUAGACCUGAUCAGGACUUGCAGAGAAGACCAAAGUCAACUGAAAAGUUACUUGGGAUGAAAUUAAUUACUAAAAAUUAUUUGAAGAAAUAAUUAGUUAAGAACCUACCUAUAGAUGUACAUGGGUGAGCCGGCCAAAGUCGGACUCAUGUGCAGGCUGUGUGAAUUUUAGUACCCGCUAAAGAAUUAGAGUAAUUUCUUGGAUUGGAGGUAAAGGCUACCAAUUUGACAAAAAUAAUGAGAGAACCUUUAGACUAAAGUCCAAGUGUUUAGGCUUAAUCAAUUCAUAAAUAUUGAGAUCUUGUGUUUUUCUUUCAGUUAUGAUUAGAUAUUCGUUGCUCCAUUCACUAUUUGAUAGUGACUUAUUUAUAGGAUCCAACUUUGAUAGAUGAUAUCGAAGGUUACAAAUAGUUUUAGAACACAAAUAUAAAUCCAGCACCUGAUGUUCCCACAUCCAACACACAUGAUGCGAUCAAAGGCACUAAUCAGAAGUGGCCAAAUGAUCAUAUCAUUGUGUGGUAUUUUUUGAGAGCAGUAAAAAAUAUGAAUUUAGUUGUAAAUUCAAUAAUACUCAGUGGG